GGGUGCAAAUUCGGUGGGGCCUGGAGGGAGCCUGGUGCCAAAGCACAGCUCCAAAACGAUCCUCCUGGAGCCAGCAGGGAGGUACGGAGCGAGGGCUGCUCUGAAACACCCAGCAAGCAUCCAGUGCUCCAAUAAGAGGUUUUCAAGACGCAGAGUUAAGUGAAGCCUCCUGACUGCCUGCAUUAGGAGAAGCGGGGAGUCUUCCUGUGGGAGCUGGCAGUGCUGGGCAUUGGUCCCUGGGCUGGAGUGGAAGUGGGUUUUGAAGUCCUCACUACUGAUGAGGGAAGAAGUAAUGGUGGAAAACAGCAAGGAUCACCCAACGGCAUGGAAAGCCAAGCACCUCCCACCUCCAGACUUCAUCAAAUGCAGCACGUGGACCUUGAGUUUGCAUUCAGGCCUCUACGUCAGCCUGGAGACACGCAGAGCCAUGGGUCUCAGCUGCCUGGAUGAGGAUCUAAAGCAGCAUGGCCACAUUUAUGGGACCACCAGAGCGCAUUACAAGGGCAGAGCUUUGCACCAUCGUGAUGCAAGGAAGAGAUGAGCCCUUUGUGUGAACAGGGAUGCUGCAGACACGAGCAGACCCUGUGCUGCUCUCCAACUCCCUUGCACUACCACACACCAAUAUAAACGUGUUUUUUUUCCCUAA